rnacentral:rRNA from 1 species
GACGAACGCUGGCGGCGUGCCAAAUACAUGCAAGUUGAGCGCUGAAGGUUGGUACUUGUACCAACUGGAUGAGCAGCGAACGGGUGAGUAACGCGUGGGGAAUCUGCCUUUGAGCGGGGGACAACAUUUGGAAACGAAUGCUAAUACCACAUAAAAACUUUAAACACAAGUUUUAAGUUUGAAAGAUGCAAUUGCAUCACUCAAAGAUGAUCCCGCGUUGUAUUAGCUAGUUGGUGAGGUAAAGGCUCACCAAGGCGAUGAUACAUAGCCGACCUGAGAGGGUGAUCGGCCACAUUGGGACUGAGACACGGCCCAAACUCCUACGGGAGGCAGCAGUAGGGAAUCUUCGGCAAUGGACGAAAGUCUGACCGAGCAACGCCGCGUGAGUGAAGAAGGUUUUCGGAUCGUAAAACUCUGUUGGUAGAGAAGAACGUUGGUGAGAGUGGAAAGCUCAUCAAGUGACGGUAACUACCCAGAAAGGGACGGCUAACUACGUG